rnacentral:rRNA from 1 species
AACGAACGCUGGCGGCAUGCCUAACACAUGCAAGUCGAACGAGACCUUCGGGUCUAGUGGCGCACGGGUGCGUAACGCGAGGGAACCUUCCCUUAGGGUCGGAAUAACUCCCCGAAAGGGGUGCUAAUACCGGAUAAUGUCUUCGGACCAAAGAUUUAUGGCCUUUGGAUGGGCCCGCGUUGGAUUAGCUAGUUGGUAGGGUAAAAGCCUACCAAGGCGACGAUCCCUAGCUGGUCUGAGAGGAUGAUCAGCCACACUGGGACUGGGACACGGCCCAGACUCCUACGGGAGGCAGCCGUGGGGAAUCUUGGACAAUGGGCGAAAGCCUGAUCCAGCAAUGCCGCGUGAGUGAUGAAGGCCUUCGGGUUGUAAAGCUCUUUUACCCGGGAUGAUAAUGACAGUUCCGGGAGAAUAAGCUCCGGCUAACUCCGUGC